rnacentral:rRNA from 1 species
GUUCCCUACGGGACGCAGCAGUGAGGAGUAUUGGUCAAUGGCCGGAAGGCUGAACCAGCCAAGCCGCGUGAAGGACGAAGGUGCCAAGCAUUGUAAACUUCUUUUGUCAAGGGACAAAAUCAGGCUCGAGAGCCUGACCGAGGGUACUUGAAGAAAAAGCAUCGGCUAACUCCGUGCCAGCAGCCGCGGUAAUACGGAGGAUGCGAGCGUUAUCCGGAUUUAUUGGGUUUAAAGGGUGCGUAGGCGGACUGUUAAGUCAGCGGUAAAAACCCGGGGCUCAACCCCGGCGAGGCGUUGAAACUGGG